UGUGGGGUCAACAACCUUUGAUGCUUGUGAAUGUUGGGACAUUAUAUGGGUACAUUAGUCUAUAAGAUAUUAAAUAUUUCCAGUCAGACUGAAUUUUAAAAUUUUAAUCAUCUCAAGUCAUAAUUUAAUGAAAAUUAGAAACUUUAAACCUUAGAUGAAAUAGACCAAUAAAAUGAUAAUCUUCUGUCUUGAUUGAGCAUGCAUCUGACACAUUGUAUAAGAAAAUGAACAAUAUGUUUUUAUUCUUUAGACACUCCUGCUGGAAAUACAUGUCGACCUAAUAAACCAAUACCAUUGGUGAAAAUUGGAGUGUUGUUGUCUUUUGUGGCGAUAGAUUUUUAAAUGAUAUGGUCUAAAUUUUCUUUGUAAAAGAAAGAUCCUGGCAACAGAUUAAAUUAUAAUUUAACUUAAUUGUAAAUUUCAGAGUUCAUAUAUUAUUUUCAAUGUAUUUAUAAUUGACCUUGUGUCAAAAUUUAGCUGCAUGUUUUCAUUUGUACAAUGUAUCGACAUUUGUGUUGCAUUUUUGUAUCAGUGAAUAUCCUUUGUGUGUGAAGUAACAGUACGUAAAUAUUAACCAAAGAUAUGUU
rnacentral:lncRNA from 1 species